rnacentral:rRNA from 1 species
GAUGAACGCUGGCGGCGUGCCUAAUACAUGCAAGUCGAGCGGAAGGACGAGAAGCUUGCUUCUCUGAUGUUAGCGGCGGACGGGUGAGUAACACGUGGAUAACCUACCUAUAAGACUGGGAUAACUUCGGGAAACCGGAGCUAAUACCGGAUAAUAUUUUGAACCGCAUGGUUCAAAAGUGAAAGACGGUCUUGCUGUCACUUAUAGAUGGAUCCGCGCUGCAUUAGCUAGUUGGUAAGGUAACGGCUUACCAAGGCAACGAUGCAUAGCCGACCUGAGAGGGUGAUCGGCCACACUGGAACUGAGACACGGUCCAGACUCCUACGGGAGGCAGCAGUAGGGAAUCUUCCGCAAUGGGCGAAAGCCUGACGGAGCAACGCCGCGUGAGUGAUGAAGGUCUUCGGAUCGUAAAACUCUGUUAUUAGGGAAGAACAUAUGUGUAAGUAACUGUGCACAUCUUGACGGUACCUAAUCAGAAAGCCACGGCUAACUACGUG